rnacentral:rRNA from 1 species
UACGUAGGGUGCAAGCGUUGUCCGGAAUUUAUUGGGCGUAAAGAGCUCGUAGGCGGUUUAUUGCGUCGGCUGUGAAAUCCCGAGGCUCAACCUCGGGUCUGCAGUCGAUACGAGCAAACUAGAGUGUUGCAGGGGAGACUGGAAUUCCUGGUGUAGCGGUGAAAUGCGCAGAUAUCAGGAGGAACACCGGUGGCGAAGGCGGGUCUCUGGGCAACAACUGACGCUGGAGGAGCGAAAGCGUGGGGAGCGAACAGG